GGGCGUAUAGCUCAGUUGGUUAGAGCGCUGUGUUGACAUCGCAGAGGUCACAAGUUCGAAUCUUGUUACGCCCACCA
rnacentral:tRNA from 6 species